rnacentral:lncRNA from 1 species
GCUAAGUGCGUCAGUUGUGGAGAGACGUAGAGGAGUUGAGUUCGUGUGUGUAGGGAGGCAGACAGCUCCGACGCAGACUACGGACCUCUCCAGGUCUCAGCCGUCAAAGACCCUGUCCGGUAGGUGAGUGGCUCGCUUUGAGGGCAAGGCUUCUCGGAUCGAGGCUUCUUCAUGGCCGCUCGGGUCGCGAGCGGCCGGGGCUUCGCUCUUUGCGGAGGACGGCGUCUAACAGAGCGCAGUUGAUUGAGGAAACACUAGCCGGGGAUCAUGAGUGGCUGUCGAGUGUUCAUUGGGAGACUAAAUCCCGCAGCGAGGGAGAAAGAUGUGGAAAGAUUCUUCAAGGGUUACGGACGGAUCAGAGAUAUUGAUUUGAAAAGAGGUUUUGGUUUUGUGGAAUUUGAGGACCCAAGGGAUGCAGAUGACGCUGUUUAUGAACUUGAUGGGAAGGAACUUUGCAGUGAAAGGGUUACUAUUGAACAUGCUCGGGCUCGGUCUCGAGGUGGAAGAGGUAGAGGACGAUACUCCGACCGUUUUAGCAGUCGCAGACCUCGAAAUGAUAGACGAAAUGCUCCACCUGUAAGAACAGAAAAUCGACUUAUAGUUGAGAAUUUAUCCUCAAGAGUCAGCUGGCAGCCUAUCUGUGUCGUUGGCCUUAUGACGAGGAGUGCCUGUGGGUUAUCCUAAUCGUUGUCUUGGUCACUCUUGGUUGGGCCUGGUUGACUUUGCCAGUCAGCUCCUAC